UACGGAGGGUGCGAGCGUUGUCCGGAAUCAUUGGGCGUAAAGGGCGCGUAGGUGGCCCGGUCAGCGUGCGGUGAAAGCUCGGGGCUCAACCCCGAGUCGGCCGUGCGAACUGCUGGGCUGGAGCACUGUAGAGGCAGGCGGAAUUCCGGGUGUAGCGGUGGAAUGCGUAGAGAUCCGGAGGAACACCGGUGGCGAAGGCGGCAUCCUGGACCGACAUUGACGCUGAGGCGCGAAAGCCAGAGGAGCAAACGGG
rnacentral:rRNA from 1 species